CCCUAUGUCGCUCCGAUUCGUCCCUCCCCCCCACGCCCAACGCACACACUCCCCCGCACUCCCCUUUCCCCGGCCCCGGCCCUGAGGUUUGAAACCACCCCCGCCACGCGCCGGCUAUGUCCCCCCGACCCUUCGAUGCCUCUGCUGGUCGGGAUCCCCCCCACCCCCGUGCCCAUGUCAUGUCGUCUUGUCCCUCAACAACUUGGCAAAGGCAUGGAAACUUGGAAACUUGGAAACUUGACCAAAGACACGUGACGCGUGCCACCGCCCGUGCCAUGACGCGUGCCACGGGGCCUUUCAUAGUGCUCGCCCGCAAGCCAAGCCAAGGUGGCACGGGGCCUUGCUUGGUGCCCGCGAGCCAAGCCAAGGUGGCACGAGGCCUUGCAUGGUGCCCACCCGCGAGCCAAGCCAAGGUGCCACAGGGCCUUGCUUGGUGCUCGCGAGCCAAAGCCAAGGUGGCACGGGGCCUUGCAUGGUGCCCUCCCGCAAGCCAAGCCAAGGUGCCACGGGGCCUUGCUUGGUGCCCGCCCGCGAGCCAAGCCAAGGUGCCACGAGGCCUUGCUUGGUGCCCGCGAGCCAAGCCAAGGUGCCACGGGGCCUUGCUUGGUGCCCGCCCGUGAGCCAAGCCAAGACACGCGACGCGUGCCACGGGGCCUUGCUUGGUGCCCGCGAGCCAAGCCAAGUUGGCACGAGGCCUUGCAUGGUGCCCGCCCGCGAGCCAAGCCAAGGUGCCACGGGGCCUUGCUUGGUGCCCGCGAGCCAAGCCAAGGUGGCAUGAGGCCUUGCAUGGUGCCCCCCCGUGAGCCAAGCCAAGACACGCGACACGUGCCACGGGGCCUUGCUUGGUGCCCGCGAGCCAAGCCAAGACACGCGACGCGUGCCAUGUGGCCUUUGCUUGGUGCCCACGAACCGAGCCAAGACACAUGACGCGUGCCACCUCCCGUGCCACGACAGCUACAAUGACCCUCGAUAUGGUGCUAGAGGCUGUGCUAGGACACGUGACCCAUGCCAUGAUGCGUGCCACGGCCCGAGGCACGACACGUCUCGCGUGGCACGACCCCCAUGCCAUGGUGCCACGACACCUGUAAUGACCCAUUCCAUGGUGGUAGAGGCUGUGCCAAGACACAUGGUGCGUGCCCUAUCUGGAUUUCGACCCUGAUGCCUUGACAAGGUUCCGGAUUAUGGUCUAUUGCUAAUCACGGAAUGUUAUUAAUCCAUGGAUUCAUGUUGCAAAGGUUGUUCGCUAUUUUUUUUUAUAUGGUUUUUUUAAGUAAAAAAAUUUAAAAAUAAAUUUUUUUUGGACAAUCCUUGGAUUCUUUUUUAAGAUUUCUUUUUUCCAUAUCAAAUACAAUUUUAAAAAAUAUUUAAAGUAAUUUUUACUUAUUUUCCCCAUUUUCCCCUAUUUUUCUAAGUAAAAAAACUAAAAAAAAAAAAAAAUUGCCAUGAGAGCUUCACCAAUCCUUGAAUUCGUCUUCCAUAUAUUUUUCCCAUGUGAAAUACAUUUUUUAAAAAUAUUUACACUAUUUUUUCCUCAUUUUUACUAUUUUUUUAAGUAAAAAAUUCGAAAAAAAAAAUAUUUUUGAGAGAUAAGUUGCAUUAAUCCAUGGGUUUCUAUUCCAGAUAGUUUUCCCAUGUGAAAUACAAUUUUUAAAAAUAUUUUCACAAUUUUUUGGUAUUUUUURSUAUUUUUYMCUAUUUUUCCCUAUUUUUCGGACAAAAAAAUUAAAAUAAAUAUUUUCUGGGCCGAAAUUUUUUUUUUUUUUUUUCCUUGGGUUCAUAUAAUUAUUAUAAAGAGAUUCAGCAAAAAAAACGGAAUUAAAAACUCUUUUUUCAUUAAAAAAUGGCAUUAUGUCUCCUCAAGCAUGGGUGAUGUCUCCUCAAGGCAUUUCCAAAAUGGCCCAAAAUGCUCUUUAAGGGGGGGGUGCUGUCCUCAAUGGGCUGGCAGCACCACCCGCCCAGGCACGCUGCAGCGCGUGCCGCCCUUGGCGUGCAGGCCGCCCAUGCCACCCUAGGCAUGGCGCCCCCGCAUAUGCCACCCUCAAGCCCACGACACGCUAAUGCGAAGAGAGCACGCCCGCGACACCGUGGGGAGCCCUCGCACGCAGCAGCAGUCACCCCGUGCCCCGUACACGCUGCACCCCGGACGCGUCCCAUGCCCCCCAUGCGGACACGCCCUCCCCCCAUGCAACGAGUGCCCUCCCCGCGCACUCGGCCCCGUCCCUCCCCGUCUCGGCUCGGCUCGACCCCUCAAGCGAGCAUGUUGCCUCGGAAAAGCUUGCCAAUGGCCAGCGUCGUGGCUCACCCCGGGGGCUCACCCCAUGCCUCCCGCCCGACGUUGCCCAUCAAAAGGCACACGGAUGCCCCUCCCCCCCAUGCAACGAGAGCCCUUCUCGGGUGCUCGGCCCCCCUCAUCUCGACUCGUCGAGGAGCCCUCAAGCCCUCGAGCGAGCAUGUUGCCUCGGAAAAACGUGCUAGUGGCCAACGUCGCGGCUCACCCCGGGGGCUCACCCAUGCCCCCCGCCCGACGUUGCCCAUCGAAAGGCACACGGAUGCCCCUCCCCCCCCAUGCAACGAGUGCCCUCCCCGGGCAGUCGGCCCCGUCCCGGCUCGUUGAGGAGCCCUCAAGCCCUCGAGCGAGCAUGUUGCCUCGGAAAGGAGCCAGACGCAUUGUCGCCAUGCCUAUAUCGGUCCUACGAAGGCUUCACUCGUUGCUCCCGUGUGCUAGUCAGGAGUCGCCUCCGGACGAGUCGCGGUUCGACGCGUGAUGCCGUGUCGUAGUGAACCUGAUGGCGUGUGAGUGGUGUUUGGGUCGCGUGGGUCGGCAGGCUCCUUGCUCGUGCAACGAACUGUCGCCGCACCCCCCUCUUCAUUCUAAGCCUCAAGCGCUGCAACAAGCCUUGGGCGUCGCGAUGCCGUGGUUCCUGUGUUGCCUUCCUAACGGAUGGAAUUGUCCCUCGAACGUUGCCUAUCUCCGCCCGGCUCCCGCUCACGCGGUGCGGGCGGACCUCGAAAGCGGUCGCCGCGUCCCAUGUUCGCCCCACGCAUGCGCACGCAUGAGAGGAGUCGAGCAUGGCCCGCGACGGCCGCUCGUGCUCUCGGAUGCGGAACCUUAAAACGAGCGUGGGGGUCCCUCGGGAUCCCGUACUCGCUCGAGCUAAGCGUUCGUCGCUAGACGCGUACGACGGCCGUCCCCGUCUUUGCCCUCCCGUCCCGCUCCCCUCGGGGGGCGUCGGUCAGGCGCAUGCGGUGCCGGCGUCGCACAGGAAUGC
rnacentral:misc_RNA from 1 species